CCUACGGGGGGCAGCAGUGGGGAAUUUUGCACAAUGGGGGAAACCCUGAUGCAGCAACGCCGCGUGAGUGAAGAAGGCCCUUGGGUUGUAAAGCUCUUUCGGCCGGGAAGCGGUACCGGAAGAAGAAGCACCUGCUAACUUCGUGCCAGCAGCAGCGGUAAUACGAAGGGUGCAAGCGUUGUUCGGAAUCACUGGGCGUAAAGGGCGCGUAGGCGGGUUUGUAAGUCACAUGUGAAAUCCCUAGGCUUAACCUGGGACGUGCAUGCGAUACUGCAAGUCUUGAAUGUCUGAGAGGGAGGCGGAAUUCCAGGUGUAGAAGUGAAAUUCGUAGAUAUCUGGAGGAACAUCCGAGGCGAAGGCGGCCUCCUGGCAGAAAUGACGCUAAAGAGCGAAAGCGCGGGGAGCAAACAGGAUUAGAUACCCUUGUAGUC
rnacentral:rRNA from 1 species